UACGGGGGGGGACGAGUGUUACUCAUAGUGAUUGGGCGUAAAGGGUACGUAGGCGGCUUUUUCAAACUCUUUUUUUAAAGGCCAUGGCGCAACUGUGGUAGUAAAGAGUAUUGUCGAGCUUCGAGUUUGGCAGAGGUGCGUGGUACUUUUUAGAGUAAAGGUAACAAUUAUUGAUCCUAAAAGGGACCCCCAACGGCGAAGGCAACUAACCAGCUAAACUGACGCUAAGGUACGGAGGCGUGGGUAU
rnacentral:rRNA from 1 species